rnacentral:rRNA from 1 species
CCUACGGGGGGCAGCAGUGAGGAAUAUUGGUCAAUGGACGAGAGUCUGAACCAGCCAAGUAGCGUGAAGGAUGACUGCCCUAUGGGUUGUAAACUUCUUUUAUAUGGGAAUAAAACGUUCCACGUGUGGGAUUUUGUAUGUACCAUAUGAAUAAGGAUCGGCUAACUCCGUUCCAGCAGCCGCGGUAAUACGGAGGAUCCGAGCGUUAUCCGGAUUUAUUGGGUUUAAAGGGAGCGUAGGUGGAUUGUUAAGUCAGUUGUGAAAGUUUGCGGCUCAACCGUAAAAUUGCAGUUGAAACUGGCAGUCUUGAGUACAGUAGAGGUGGGCGGAAUUCGUGGUGUAGCGGUGAAAUGCUUAGAUAUCACGAAGAACUCCGAUUGCGAAGGCAGUUCACUGGACUGCAACUGACACUGAGGCUCGAAAGUGUGGGUAUCAAACAGGAUUAGAUACCCGAGUAGUC